rnacentral:rRNA from 1 species
UACGGAGGGUGCAAGCGUUAUCCGGAUUUAUUGGGUCUAAAGGGUCCGUAGGCGGAUCGUUAAGUCAGCGGUGAAAGCCCACAGCUCAACUGUGGAAUUGCCGUUGAUACUGGCGAUCUUGAGUGCAAGUGAAGUUGGCGGAAUGUGCGGUGUAGCGGUGAAAUGCUUAGAUAUCGCACAGAACACCUAUUGCGAAGGCAGCUGGCUAAUUUGCAACUGACGCUGAGGGACGAAAGCGUGGGGAUCAAACAGG